rnacentral:lncRNA from 1 species
UUUGGUCGAGCAGACUUGGAUUCUGUCAUCUUAGAUAUCAAAUCGAUGCGGUGAUUUUUUCAUCAACUUAGCUUUAAACAUGUAAGAAGGGAAGCUAAUCGGGUGGCACACUUUAUUGCAAGGGAGGGGAGUUGCAGAUCAGAAAAUACAUUUUGGAUGGAGGAUUCCCCGUCGACAGUAAGGGACAUGGUGGUUGCAGAAGAGAUGAGAGAGGCUUCCCAAACGGAUGACUGAUUUGGAUGGGUUCAUUCGGAUUAGCCUGAUUCUUACAUUGUAGGCUAUGAUUCAGUUCAACAAAAAAGAUUCAAGGGUGUUCUGAAGUUUUUCUACUGGGUUUCCUGUUUUUUAGUUUUUGUUGAUUUCAGAUGGUUUUGUUUUUGAUUAAAGCUGCACUCUGAUUUUGGUUUUGGUUUAUGGAAA